AUUGCAGGCUGCAACUCGCCUGCAUGAAGUCGGAAUUGCUAGUAAUCGUAGGUCAGCAUACUACGGUGAAUACGUUCCCGGGCCUUGUACACACCGCCCGUCAAACCAUGAGAGUUGGCAACACCCGAAGUCGGUAGUCUAACCGCAAGGAGGACGCCGCGAAGGUGGGGUUGAUGAUUAGGGUUAAGUCGUAACAAGGUAUC
rnacentral:rRNA from 1 species